AUUGAACGCUGGCGGCAUGCUUUACACAUGCAAGUCGAACGGCAGCACGGACUUCGGUCUGGUGGCGAGUGGCGAACGGGUGAGUAAUACAUCGGAACGUACCCAGUAAUGGGGGAUAACUAUCCGAAAGGAUAGCUAAUACCGCAUACGCCCUACGGGGGACAGAGGGGGAUCGCAAGACCUCUUGUUAUUGGAGCGGCCGAUGGCUGGUUAGCUAGUUGGUGAGGUAAAGGCUCACCAAGGCGACGAUCAGUAGCGGGUCUUAGAGGACGAUCCGCAACACUGGAACUGAGAGACGGUCCAGACUCCGACGGGAGGCAGCAGUGGGGAAUCUUGGACAAUGGGCGCAAGCCUGAUCCAGCAAUGCCGCGUGCGUGAAGAAGGCCUUCGGGUUGUAAAGCGCUUUUGUCAGGGAGCAAAUCCUUGUGGCUAAUACCCACCGGGGAUGAGAGUACCUGAAGAAUAAGGACCGGCUAACUACGUGCCAGCCGCCGCGGUAA
rnacentral:rRNA from 1 species